rnacentral:rRNA from 1 species
AUUGACCGCUGGCGGCAGGCCUAACACAUGCAAGUCGAACGAGUGGCGGACGGGUGAGUAAUGUCUGGGAAACUGCCUGAUGGAGGGGGAUAACUACUGGAAACGGUAGCUCAUACCGCAUACCCUACGCUUUUCCCAGAUGGGAUUAGCUUGUUGGUGGGGUAACGGCUAACCAAGGCGACGAUCCCUAGCUGGUCGGAGAGGAUGCCCAGCCACACUGGAACUGAGACACGGUCCAGACUCCUACGGGAGGCAGCAGUGGGGAAUAUUGCACAAUGGGCGCAAGCCUGAUGCAGCCAUGCCGCGUGUAUGAAGAAGGCCUUCGGGUUGUAAAGUACUUUCAGCGGGGAGGCGUUACCCGCAGAAGAAGCACCGGCUAACUCCGUGCCAGCAGCCGCGGUAAUUC